rnacentral:rRNA from 1 species
AAAUUGAAGAGUUUGAUCAUGGCUCAGAUUGAACGCUGGCGGCAGGCCUAACACAUGCAAGUCGAACGGUAACAGGAAACAGCUUGCUGUUUCGCUGACGAGUGGCGGACGGGUGAGUAAUGUCUGGGAAACUGCCUGAUGGAGGGGGAUAACUACUGGAAACGGUAGCUAAUACCGCAUAACGUCGCAAGACCAAAGAGGGGGACCUUAGGGCCUCUUGCCAUCGGAUGUGCCCAGAUGGGAUUAGCUUGUUGGUGGGGUAACGGCUCACC